rnacentral:rRNA from 1 species
UACGUAGGGUGCAAGCGUUGCCCCGGAAUUAUUGGGCGUAAAGAGCUCGUAGGCGGUCUGUCGCGUCUGCUGUGAAAACUCAGGGCUUAACCCUGAGCUUGCAGUGGGUACGGGCAGACUAGAGUGCGGUAGGGGAGACUGGAAUUCCUGGUGUAGCGGUGAAAUGCGCAGAUAUCAGGAGGAACACCGGUGGCGAAGGCGGGUCUCUGGGCCGUAACUGACGCUGAGGAGCGGAAAGCAUGGGGGAGCGAACAGG